UACGGAGGGGGCGAGCGUUAUUCGGAAUUAUUGGGCGUAAAGGGCGCGUAGGCGGCCCGGUAAGUCAAAGGUGAAAUCCCUCGGCUCAACUGAGGAACUGCCUUUGAAACUGUCGGGCUUGAGGCCGGGAGGGGGUAGCGGAAUUCCCAGUGUAGCGGUGAAAUGCGUAGAUAUUGGGAGGAACACCGGUGGCGAAGGCGGCUACCUGGACCAUAACUGACGCUGAGGCGCGAAAGCUAGGGGAGCAAACAGG
rnacentral:rRNA from 1 species